AUGCCUCCUACACCAAAACCUUCAACCUUCAACCCCUUAUCAAACUUCAAACCCAUCUACUUCUACUCACCACCUUCAUUCGCUAAUCAUCCUUACAAUAUUCCUCUUCCUCAACCGUUCAUCACCAUCCACAAGUCAACUAACCUUCCCUCAACCCUCACAAACCUGCCCAUUAGUCUAAAAAACACAACGAUAAAAAUCUAUAGCCUCAUCUUACGACUAAUUUUGAGAUCUACACAAAACACACAACUCACUCGGUUCACACCCACAAGUAUACGCCCACACCUCGCCAUACAAUAA